UAAAUAAAACAGGAGAAGCCGCCAUAGAAGAAAAAUAAAUUACAUACUUAUCAAACUCGUUAGCUUUAAUAUGGAGUAGAAUCUAUAAUUUCUACAUUAUUGUGUUUAGUAGGCUUUAUAUUCUUCGUAUAUACUACCAACAGUUCGUCGUUUAUAUUAUAUUAUGCUAGUAGGUUAGCUAGUUUAUAUCUUUACAAAGUUGACCAGGAUGGGGAUGAUAUGUACUUUCUCCUCCCUGACUGACCCUAUGCGGGCUCUCCGGCGGCUGUAGAUCCUCGGACAGCCGGAGGACUCCCGGACUUCCCGGCUGAAAGUCUGCACUCCUCCCCGCGGAGCUUCACCAACAACACCCAGGCCCAGGCUCUGCUGUCCGGCUUCAUCUCACCGAAGAUGCGCUUCCAAACCCUCCACAGGGCCGACCGUCCACAGUCCUGAAAGAUGUGGGUUGCCGGACCAAGGUGAGGACCGCAGAUGCCUUUUGGCGAGUCAAGCCCUGUAUAAGUCACACAGGAGUGUAGAAUGUGAUGCACCCUCACUUGAUUUUCCUGAUGAUUUUGUAACUUCACACCUGUCAAGAAGUUUAGAUAGGACCCAUGCUCCUAUCCUCAUGCUGAUUCAAACAAUUAAAGAAUAGACUGAGAAUACCACAGCUGCUGACAGUUCAGAAUCAUAUCAGGCGCCUCUGGAGUCUGAGCUAGAGGAGCCGCGGGUGGAUUUAGAGUCAGAAGAAGUGGAAUCAGAGAUGAAGAUUGUGGCUGUAAAAGUACAGCCAGAAGAAUAUGAGGAGCCUGUGAGCUGAAGUAUUGUGCCUGAAGACUUGUCUGUGCAGCCUGACUGGCAGCAGCAGAUGGUGGCAAGACAUAACUCAGACUGUUGACAGCCAAAAGAAAUUAGCUUGGGCUGUUUAUGACUGUGGUGCCUGAUGAAGACAAUUCAUCAAAGGUGUGAUGACCGACAUUUGCAGAUUGGGUGUUCAUAUACCCUAAGAACAGCCCCUGUCAUGAGCUGAAAAAGGUGGUUGAGACACCUGUCAACAAUCCAGACUGACCAGGAAAAACCUUUCAUGAUGAGAUUAAUGAGUUUGAUCUUCCUGAUGGACUGCUUUUUAAAAUUUUAUGAUAAAAAUGAUCUAAUAUACUGAUGUAUUUGUGAUUGUAUAUCAGUGUUCCUAAUUAAAACAAUUAAAUAUUAAAACACUUCAAACUAGUCCACAUCCUGCUCCCUAGCAAACCAGUUCAAAUAUGUUGGGAAAUUGCUUUUGUUAGGAGUUAACUUGCAGUUUAAUAUCAUAGAAAAUAUUUGAUCAAAUCCUUAAACAAGAAUAAAUGACAAAAACCACCUUUCACUUUCAAAAUGUGAGUGUUACACUUAAAGGAAAAUGUUACUAUUCAAGUUAAAAUCCACUUGAAAGCGAUUGCUUCAGGUGUACUGUUGUUCCAAGAAAAAAAUCUUCAUUUAUUCAGCAGGUACAUUUUCUUAUGUAUUGCUGUUUUGUUUAAUUUGUAGCACAGAGGGUUCCCAUAAUUCAUAAUUCAACCCUGAAUCUGUAUCUUAACUCCAAAGCUCUGUGUAAUUUUAUUUCUGAUUAUAUCUGUGCUCUAAUAGUGUUGGCCUCUUCUGUAUUAGGGAAACAAUUAAAAGUCUGCAGUAUAAUCAGGAUUUAAUCUUUUAGUCAUGAAUGGGGAGCUGUCUGUGGUGCUGAAAUAAAUCUGUAAUAAAUAAUGAGUUGUCCCUGGUGCUGAAAUAAACCGUGCCUAAAUACAGAUGUGGUUGAAAUAAGAUACAGAUGUGGAUUUUUAGUCUUGAUAAUUCUGGCAGUGGAAUUCAUAUUUCCUAAUUGCUCCAUUAAUAGAAGAGGAACGAGAAGAAUUUUUUUUACAGUGAAUUUAAUCAUUUUUGUUCUGAGCUGGUGGAGCCUGCAUUAAAAACAUUUUGAAAUUUGAUAAGAUCUAUGGCGUCUGCUCUAGAGUGGGCCAGUAUGUCUCAGCUGAAGUAGUUCAUCCCAUCAGCUGUAGCUGAGUGUCCUUAGCAGAUCAAAAAUCAAGAGUUCAAAAUCAAAAAGUCUGUUUUGUAUAUUUUUGAAAGUUUCAGAGUUUUUGAAUUCUGCUCAAUAUUUAUGUCCUUUUUGUUUUAUUUUGUUUUUUUUAUAUCAUAAGGUUAUCCUUCACAAAACAUUCAUGCUGGACGACAUAACGUGUCCACAGUCCUGAAAGAUGUGGGUUGCCGGACCAAGGUGAGGACCGCAGAUGCCUUUUGGCGAGUCAAGCCCUGUAUAAGUCACACAGGAGUGUAGAAUGUGAUGCACCCUCACUUGAUUUUCCUGAUGAUUUUGUAACUUCACACCUGUCAAGAAGUUUAGAUAGGACCCAUGCUCCUAUCCUCAUGCUGAUUCAAACAAUUAAAGAAUAGACUGAGAAUACCACAGCUGCUGACAGGUACCCAAAUGAAAAGAAUAAACUUUGUUGGGACUUGAGAAAAUUAUUCUUCUGUAUCCAGUUAUGAAUUAUUUUGUUCUUUUUUUAAUAAUCAUAUGUUUAAGUUCAGAAUCAUAUCAGGCGCCUCUGGAGUCUGAGCUAGAGGAGCCGCGGGUGGAUUUAGAGUCAGAAGAAGUGGAAUCAGAGAUGAAGAUUGUGGCUGUAAAAGUACAGCCAGAAGAAUAUGAGGAGCCUGUGAGCUGAAGUAUUGUGCCUGAAGACUUGUCUGUGCAGCCUGACUGGCAGCAGCAGAUGGUGGCAAGACAUAACUCAGACUGUUGACAGCCAAAAGAAAUUAGCUUGGGCUGUUUAUGACUGUGGUGCCUGAUGAAGACACUUCAUCAAAGGUGUGAUGACCGACAUUUGCAGAUUGGGUGUUCAUAUACCCAAAGAACAGCCCCUGUCAUGAGCUGAAAAAGGUGGUUGAGACACCUGUCAACAAUCCAGACUGACCAGGAAAAACCUUUCAUGAUGAGAUUAAUGAGUUUGAUCUUCCUGAUGGACUGCUUUUUAAAAUUUUAUGAUAAAAAUGAUCUAAUAUACUGAUGUAUUUGUGAUUGUAUAUCAGUGUUCCUAAUUAAAACAAUUAAAUAUUAAAACACUUCAAACUAGUCCACAUCCUGCUCCCUAGCAAACCAGUUCAAAUAUGUUGGGAAAUUGCUUUUGUUAGGAGUUAACUUGCAGUUUAAUAUCAUAGAAAAUAUUUGAUCAAAUCCUUAAACAAGAAUAAAUGACAAAAACCACCUUUCACUUUCAAAAUGUGAGUGUUACACUUAAAGGAAAAUGUUACUAUUCAAGUUAAAAUCCACUUGAAAGCGAUUGCUUCAGGUGUACUGUUGUUCCAAGAAAAAAAUCUUCAUUUAUUCAGCAGGUACAUUUUCUUAUGUAUUGCUGUUUUGUUUAAUUUGUAGCACAGAGGGUUCCCAUAAUUCAUAAUUCAACCCUGAAUCUGUAUCUUAACUCCAAAGCUCUGUGUAAUUUUAUUUCUGAUUAUAUCUGUGCUCUAAUAGUGUUGGCCUCUUCUGUAUUAGGGAAACAAUUAAAAGUCUGCAGUAUAAUCAGGAUUUAAUCUUUUAGUCAUGAAUGGGGAGCUGUCUGUGGUGCUGAAAUAAAUCUGUAAUAAAUAAUGAGUUGUCCCUGGUGCUGAAAUAAACCGUGCCUAAAUACAGAUGUGGUUGAAAUAA